AUGCUGCCCAAGGACGACAGGAAGAAGAAAGACACUGGAAAGUCAGACAAGAAAGACAGAGACCCAAUGAACAAAUCUGGUGGCAAGGACAGAAAGAAGAAGUGGUCCAAAGGCAAAGUUUGGGACAAGCUCAAUAACCUAGUCUUGUUUGACAAAGCUACAUAUGACAUACUCAGUAAGAAAGUCCCAACAGUAAGCUUAUAACCCCAACUGAGGUCUCUGAGAGACUGAAAAUUAAAAGUUGUCUGUCCAGGGCAGCCUUUCAGGAGCUGUUUAGUAACAGACUUAUCAAACUAGUUUCAGUGCACAGAGCUCAAAUAAUUUACACCAGAAACACCUAGUGCGGAGGUGCUCCAGCUUCUGGUGAAGAUGCAGGA
rnacentral:lncRNA from 1 species